rnacentral:hammerhead_ribozyme from 1 species
AUCCAACAGAAGAGUUCUAAAUAAGACGAAAUGCACAUUUUGGAU